rnacentral:rRNA from 1 species
UACAGAGGUGCCAAGCGUUAGGCGGAAUCACUGGGCUUAAAGCGUGUGUAGGCGGUUCGUUAAGUACCUUGUGAAAUCCCACGGCUCAACCGUGGAACUGCUGGGUAUACUGGCGAUCUUGAGCCACCUAGGGGCGAGCGGAACAAGCGGUGGAGCGGUGAAAUGCGUAGAUAUCGCUUGGAACGCCAAUGGUGAAAACAGCUCGCUGGGGGUGUGCUGACGCUGAGACACGAAAGCCAGGGGAGCGAACGGG